rnacentral:rRNA from 1 species
GUUUGAUCCUGGCUCAGAUUGAACGCUGGCGGCAUGCUUUAUACAUGCAAGUCGAACGGUAACAGGUCUUCGGAUGCUGACGAGUGGCGAACGGGUGAGUAAUACAUCGGAACGUGCCUAGUAGUGGGGGAUAACUACUCGAAAGAGUAGCUAAUACCGCAUGAGAUCUACGGAUGAAAGCAGGGGACCUUCGGGCCUUGUGCUACUAGAGCGGCUGAUGGCAGAUUAGGUAGUUGGUGGGGUAAAGGCUUACCAAGCCUGCGAUCUGUAGCUGGUCUGAGAGGACGACCAGCCACACUGGGACUGAGACACGGCCCAGACUCCUACGGGAGGCAGCAGUGGGGAAUUUUGGACAAUGGGCGAAAGCCUGAUCCAGCAAUGCCGCGUGCAGGAUGAAGGCCCUCGGGUUGUAAACUGCUUUUGUACGGAACGAAAAGCCUGGGGCUAAUAUCCCCGGGUCAUGACGGUACCGUAAGAAUAAGCACCGGCUAACUACGUGCCAGCAGCCGCGGUAAUACGUAGGGUGCAAGCGUUAAUCGGAAUUACUGGGCGUAAAGCGUGCGCAGGCGGUUUUGUAAGACAGUGGUGAAAUCCCCGGGCUCAACCUGGGAACUGCCAUUGUGACUGCAAGGCUAGAGUGCGGCAGAGGGGGAUGGAAUUCCGCGUGUAGCAGUGAAAUGCGUAGAUAUGCGGAGGAACACCGAUGGCGAAGGCAAUCCCCUGGGCCUGCACUGACGCUCAUGCACGAAGCGUGGGGAGCAAACAGGAUUAGUACCCUGGUAGUCCACGCCCUAAACGAUGUCAACUGGUUGUUGGGUCUUAACUGACUCAGUAACGAAGCUAACGCGUGAAGUUGACCGCCUGGGGAGUACGGCC